UACGGGGGGGGCAAGCGUUGUUCGGAAUUACUGGGCGUAAAGGGCUCGUAGGUGGCCAACUAAGUCAGACGUGAAAUCCCUCAGCUUAACUGGGGAACUGCGUCUGAUACUGGAUGGCUUGAGUUUGGGAGAGGGAUGCGGAAUUCCAGGUGUAGCGGUGAAAUGCGUAGAGAUGUGGAGGAACACCGAUGGCGAAGGCAGCCCCCUGGGCUAACACUGACGCUCAUGCACGAAAGCGUGGGGAGCAAACAGG
rnacentral:rRNA from 1 species